ensembl:snoRNA SNORA63 Small nucleolar RNA SNORA63
CGGCAGGUUGGGAUGUCACAGUGUAGCUGGGAAGUGCUAUAUUGUUCUGUCCCCCUGCCAAGAGGAAGUGUUUCCCACAAUCUCUGUCUAACUCAGUUCAAUAGUAAGACAGGGACGCUUGGUCUCAAACAU